UGACGCGUUUGAUAGCAGGAUC
rnacentral:miRNA from 1 species